UACGUAGGGUGCAAGCGUUAAUCGGAAUUACUGGGCGUAAAGCGUGCGCAGGCGGUUAUAUAAGACAGUUGUGAAAUCCCCGGGCUCAACCUGGGAACUGCAUCUGUGACUGUAUAGCUAGAGUACGGUAGAGGGGAUGGAAUUCCGCGUGUAGCAGUGAAAUGCGUAGAUAUGCGGAGGAACACCGAUGGCGAAGGCAAUCCCCUGGACCUGUACUGACGCUCAUGCACGAAAGGCGUGGGGAGC
rnacentral:rRNA from 1 species